rnacentral:rRNA from 1 species
AUUGAACGCUGGCGGCAGGCCUAACACAUGCAAGUCGAACGAGUGGCGGACGGGUGAGUCAUGUCUGGGAAACUGCCCGAUGGAGGGGGAUAACUACUGGAAACGGUAGCUAAUACCGCAUACCAUCGGAUGUGCCCAGAUGGGAUUAGCUUGUAGGUGGGGUAACGGCUCACCUAGGCGAGGAUCCCUAGCGGGUCUGAGAGGAUGACCAGCCACACGGGAACUGGGACACGGUCCAGAGGCCUAGGGGAGGCAGCAGUGGGGAAGAUUGCACAAGGGGCGCAAGCCUGAUGCAGACAUGCAGCGUGUAUGAAGAAGGCCUUCGGGUUGGAAAGUACGUUCAGCGGGGAGGCGUUACCCGCAGAAGAAGCACCGGCUAACUCCGUGCCAGCAGCCGCGGUAAUAC